GUUUUUUUCUGUAACUCAGCCGGCAUGAGUGUUUCUGGGUGAAACAUUCUGAGUGUGUCUGCUGGGUGUUGUGAGGGGAGCUCGGCAACGUCAGAACUCCAGACAUGGAUGUAGUGACCUUUGAUGACGUGCAUGUGAACUUCACUCUGGAAGAGUGGGCUUUGCUGGAUCCUUCUCAGAAGAGUCUCUACAAAGAUGUGAUGUUGGAGACCUAUAGGAAUCUCACAGCUAUAGGCCACAUUUUGGAAGACCGUACUAUUGGUGAACAUUUUCCAAGUUCUAGAAGACAUGGAAGGUAAUUUUCAUGUGCAAGCUCAAAAGAAAGUGCCUAUGAAUAAAGUGUAAUAUGUGCUAAAAGUUGUAAAGAAAAGCAGUAGGGUAAAAUAUGCACUGGAUUAAGUUAUAGAUGAUUAUUCAAUCUCACAAAAUCAUGUAUGUCUAUGGCAGACAUCCAGUUUGUGUGUGCAAGGUGUUCCUUAAUUUCAAAAAACAUAAAACAACAGAUAUGUCACUAUUUGAAUCAAACUCAGGAGAGCCAUGUUCUAGAACUGCCAAUCUGUUCAGUCUCGUACCACUUAGCUAUUGUAAAAGGGAAACAGAUUUAUUAGGUGAUAAGCAUAUGUCUAAAACCUUGUAAAAAGCAAAUAAUCCAUAGUAAACCUGUUGUUAACCAUAUACUUGUAGUAGCAUUGCUAAAUUUAUUGAGAUAGAUAGUUUAUGAGAUUUAAGAAUGGCUUUGUGGAGAAACUUUAAUUUCUGUACCACAUCAAUAUGAGAGAAAAAGUCAAACUCUGUGAAUGUAAUGUGGAACCCUU